rnacentral:rRNA from 1 species
UACAGAGGUGCCAAGCGUUGUUCGGAUUUACUGGGCGUAAAGGGUGCGUAGGCGGUCAUGCAAGUCGGGUGUGAAAUCCCGGAGCUAACUCCGGAACGGCAUUCGAAACUGCAUGGCUCGAGGGCUGCAGAGGUGACUGGAAUUCUCGGUGUAGCAGUGAAAUGCGUAGAGAUCGAGAGGAACACCAGAGGCGAAAGCGAGUCACUAGACAGAUCCUGACGCUGAGGCACGAAAGCCAGGGGAGCAAACGGGAUUAGAAACCCUC